CGGGGUUUUACCAUGCUGCUGCACACUGGUCUUGAACUCCUGGGCUCUAGUGAUCCACCUGCUCAGCUUCCCAAAGUAAUGGGAAUACAGUUCUGGAGUCUACUCCAAAAGCAAGGCAUCAGCAGACCUGCACUUCCCCUGAGACUCUGCAUGGAAUCCUGCCUUGCCCCUUACUGGCUUCUGAUGGUGGCCAUUGAUCUUCGGCAUUCCUUUGCUUUUGC
rnacentral:lncRNA from 1 species